CAAAUAUGCUAACUUUUUUAUCAGUCUGCCGCUGGCAGUGCGUCUCCGGAGUAGUGUACUGACUAGAGGCUCCCGAGUCAGACAAGAGAGUCGUCGAGUGUGUGUGUGUUUUUUUUUGGUUGGCCAAAAGGGCCCCGUGACGUCAAUCGGUGGUGGAUCGGUAGAUUGCACCUUUUCGGGGGUCCGCAAGUUGGGCCGUGAAAAUCGCGGAAAGUUUUUCGAAAAGAUUCGUAACAGAGUUCCCACGUUCGCCACGCCACGGAGAGUCGGUUCAAAACGGGGCCUUUCCACGUGCCACGAUGACCUGCGCCUCCAAAGAGUGCAUUUCUGAUUAGUAGAUGCAACGCGGAUUUAGUGCUUGCCCCAGAGUGCUGAUUUAGUGCCAAUAUGGAAGGACAUCGUGGCGACUUGGACGUCCAAGCCAGCAGCAGUGUGGUGGAAAAGUUUGGUGAACUCCUCCUCAGCACUAACGUCGUCGUUGGUGGUGGUGUUGGUGUGGAGGAAAACCUCGCGCGGAAUAACGGAGGCGUGUGGUAGUGUGUUGCUUUUCCUAGCGCUGUCCCCGUGCGUUGGUGUGAGUGUGUGCUUUUGGUGGUGGUGCUGGUGGUGGUGGUGUUGGGGAACGGCAAAAAGCUUUUGUGUGCAGCCCGUGAAAAUUUUCUCGGUUUUUCACCAACAUACUUGACGCGGAGCGGAAAAGUGUCGUCGUCUGGCGCAAGGUGGCCGAUUUUCGGGUGGAAAAUUUGCGAAAGUGGUUCAAAUUGGCACGCGGAGUUCAAGUUACGGGUUUCUGGUGCGGAGUUUCGGUGGAAAAUGGCCCCGCGAAGCUGGAAAAGGUGGCGAAAAAUCGCAGUGAAAAACUGGGCAUCGAUCCCAGGUUCGGUCGGUGGAGUUGGAAGUUGGUGAACGAGAAGCAGAAAAAAAAGAUGGAGCUGCUGGAGAGUGCUCCCUGUUGAGGGGUGUUUUCUAGACACGACACGGGGUUUUUCGUGCCAGAAAAGUUGUGCUGGAGGAAAAUAUGACGAUCGUGUGCGAUCUGGAGUGAUUUGAAUGGUGAAGAAAUCAGCAGUUUUAAAAGCAAGGCGAUGGCGAGGAUUUGUGAGCAGUCUCCAAAGGGAUAGUAUCAUGAGCCAAUACCCAGCUGUGCCAUGGAACUGAUAUCGAAGCUGUUUCCACCGUAGUGCACAAUGGCCGCCCUGCAUUCGCCGAUGCCGGACAGCAGUACCGCUGCGCAACGCUAGCGAACACAACCCCGGGAAUGCCCUUCCGGGAUCACUGGACUGCGGAAUGUGGUUCGCUCGUGUUCGACUGCUGCGGGAAAAAGUGAAAAUGUUUAUCAAAACCAACCGUGAUUUACGUUUCUCAAGUGUAGCUAAUGGCGAAGACAAUGAUAACGAUAGCAGCGAGUAUCGGUUCUCAAAAUGUGAAACUAAACUGAAAAAAUACAAAGCGACGAACCGCGAUGAGCAGCACUUUUCCGUUGAAGAUAGUGGUCGGCGAGCUCACAGUGGUGCAACAAGAUACUGUCUAUAACGAAAACUUAAAUCAAGAUUACGACCAGCUGAGUUUAGUCGUGUAAAUAGUGUCAAGUGUGUAGUAUUGGUGUUGCGGUGGGGUUGGGUAGUAAUCGAUAAACACACCUGUGGAGUGUAAGAAACGAAAUAGUCACUAAGCCACGUUCACAGUUUGUGCUUCUUUUUUUGUUUUUCGAAGGAAGUGCAACAGAAAACGAAUUCGUCGAAACAUCAUUUCAACUAGAGAACAAAAACAAAACUGAUAAAGCAAACCUAAGUGAUAGGGAGAUCAAGCAGUGAAAUACGCUUGAUACCACAAUUUCAAACAUAACUAGGAUAUUACCAAAAUGGCCGAUAUGCCUGAUCUGUCGCAUCUGACACAGGAGGAACGUGCAAUCAUAGAAAAUGUUAUGCAACGACAACGACAGGAGGAGGAGCGGGAGAAUGAGAUCAUGCGGAGGAAGCAGGACGAGGUGGCGACCCUGGUCGACUCGAUCCGGCAAAAGUCGGAACAGCAGAAGAAGGCGGGCGUGGAACUGGACGCAACUUGUCACAUUUGCCUCAAAACAAAGUUUGCGGAUGGCAUCGGACACAUCUGCAACUAUUGCAACAUCCGCUGUUGUGCCAAAUGCGGGGGCAAAGUUACGCUGCGAAACAAUAAGGUGAUAUGGGUGUGCAUCGUUUGCCGGAAAAAGCAGGAACUAUUGUCGAAGACAGGCCAAUGGAUGAACAAAAGCACCAGUCCCGAUGGCGGGACGGUACGGCGGAUCGACGGAGAUCCACGGAUGUCCCAGACAAUGCUCGAUCCAUUCGAUCCCUCCGACAAGCGACCAAAGCUGGAACGGGCCCGGAGCGCGGCGGAAAAGGAAAACAACCCGAUGCAGCGCUCCGGAAGUCAACUGCGCCGCCAGUACUCCCAGCAAGAUCCACCCGUGCGCCGGAUGUCGCAGUCCGACAGCGGGGUGGACAUAUCCACGGGACCACAGCAGGCCCGGUUGCCGAUGCCCCGGAUGCACCCGGGCCAGGUCGGCCAGUACGGACAGCACCCGCAGCACCCCGGACUGCCGCAGCCACCGAUGCAACAGAAUCCGUACGGGCACCACCAGUCGCACAUGAACCCCCAGGUGCAGAUCACCCGUCCGAGCGGAAACGUCAGCAUGGGUGGCUACGGUCAGGAGGAUCCCAGCUACUAUCAGGGUGAAAUCGAAGACCUGAUGCGAAGUCAUCCGCACCUGGUCCAUCCACGCCAGCAGCAACACUACGCCGAAUCCAUGCAGUCUGGAGCGCCUAGCUACGGCAGCGGGAGUGGCAGCAGUGGCAUCGCGGAACCCAUGAAGAAGCAUAAACGUCCGAUGGGUGGACCGUACCUGCCCCAGCAGCGGUCCUUUAGCAGUUCGGACGAGGACAUCCGAUCGACGCCGGAAUACGAAGCCGGGCACCAAAAACAGUAUUUUGAUAAUCACUCUCGACUGAAUCCAAGCCUAACCGAUUACCGUGCAAGAAAGCUGGAUGUACAACAAAGAAAUAGCUAUAAUAGGACGAACCACAACCGGUACCAAAGUCAACAGUCUCAUUUCCAUAGCCAGCAGCCACUACCCCAGGUAGUGGUUGCCGAUAGCACCAUUACUUCUUCGGCGUACGAUAACAAUAAUCAUCACCACCACAGUAGUAGCCAUCAUCAGCAUAGUCACCAGUCAGUGCCGCAGUCCCAUCAAGUUCAUAAUAGCCAAUAUCAGUAUCAGCAACAGCAACAACAGAACAGCCGGUACAGCUCGAGUCCUGCCGUGGUCGGCGGCAAUGAGCAGCCGGAUCCGUACUGGGACGAGCCAACCGACAGCCGACGAUUCACCGAGCGAAGAAAGAAAACGGUGAGAUUCGAUGGGCAGGAGUCCGCCGACGACUGGGGCCGGUGGGAGUCGGAACGGCAGGGCAGCCAGGACUCGGCCACCAAGGAUUCUGGUAUCGAUACCAGCAGCACAUUCACGAGUAGCGAAGAUUCGAACCGCGGCGAUGGCCCCAAGAACCCGGUCAGUUGGCAAGUGUCGACCGAUGGCAGUCGUAUGAUCGGUCAUAUGGUACUGCAGCGAACUGUUGACGGCGAAGACGUUUUAGGACUCAAGGUACGCGGUGGCCAAGUGCUACCCAGUGACGAUAAGGCAGCUGCGUCGACGACAGCGGCGGCGAUCGUGGAACAGGUGCAGCGUGGGUUGAUUGCCGACCAGGAGGGACACAUCCGGCCAGGUGACGAAGUGGUUGAAUGGAACGGUCACUCAUUGCGUGGCAAAUCCGCACAAGACGUACACGAUAUUAUCACUGAUAGUGCGCUGGAACCAUUGGUAGAGUUGCUAUUGACACGUGCGAUCUUGAUCAAUCGUAAAAAUACACAAGCAUCCUGGCGAAAGUCUCAUUCCCCAACUCGACUCCCAGCGCAUCAAAGUGGAGAGAGCUACGAUCGGCGAGACAAGCCAAGCGUCCUGGUGACGUCUCCGGGAUCGCCGGACUUGCACAGCGUCCGGAACUAUUCCGCGAACCUCCGAUACCCAAAUAGACUGACUCCGGCUGCGACUGCUGCCCAGCAGCAGCAACAACAGCACCACCACCACCACCAACACCAGGAGAACAGCGUUGGUGGCAGGGUACAAAUUAAGCUCGGCUUCGAUCCCAGCUCGCUGCAGCUGAUCGUGACCAUAGUGGGCGCCACCGAUCUGGUGUCGCGGCUCAACGGCGCCGCACGGAAUCCGUACGCCAAAGUUUGUUUGCUUCCCGAUCGAAGCGAAAAGUCCAAACGGCGAACCAAAACCUUGGCACUGACUAACGACCCGCGCUGGGGCCAAACGUUCGUUUACGAAGGCUUCCGGCGGGCAGAUCUACACAAUCGGCUGUUCGAAAUCACGCUGUGGGACUAUGUGCGCUACGGUGCCAACGAUUUUCUCGGUGAAGUGAUCAUUGAUCUGGCCAUACACCCCCUGGACGAUGAACCGGAAUGGUACACCCUGCAACCGCAUCAAGAGUCCUUGCGAGACACAUUGCGUAGAGACGAUAGAGAACCCGGCAACGAAUUGGAUAUGAUUUUAACCCCGACCGAUCAUUUAUCGCCACCGAGCACCACUUCGAGGUUGAGUGACUCAGACACGACUUCCGAAUGCGAUAUCGAUGGUCUGAUGACUGGACGUGACGGCGCUAGCGUAUCAUCCCUAGGAAGCUCAUCAAGUCCUCCACCAGAGGUUGAUCUACAGGAGCGGAGGUCACGGCGGGAUAUGUCACCGCAGGGCCGGAAACGAGUCGCUGGUAUGGUAGCAAAAGAUUACCGAACCGUGUCGGGUGUAGGACAAGGCUUCCACAAUCAAAUGAGUAAUGAGGCAUCUUCAUCCUACCGUCGAAACGGCACGAUGGCACUGAAUCAGCGCAGUCAGUCGGCGGCACCGAGUGAAAACUACCGGGACGAUCGCCGCGGGUCGCUGUCGCCGCAAGAUGAUAGAUAUACCGAAUAUCCAGUUCUUCCAUUACAUCAGUAUGCGCCAAGAUUUCAAUCACGAUCAGCGACUGCGACACCAACUGGUUCACCGAAGAAGCGACAAUUACCACAAGUACCUCACGUGUCACGAAAUGCGGCCAUGCGCGAACGUUUUAUACAGGACUUUGAGGAGCGCAGUGGAGGACGUUUUGCACGGCACCGGGGCCGCCAAAGCCAUCAUCAGCCAACGUAUCGGAGUACGGGAAUGGGAGGUAAUGCAGGCUGGGAGCGACACUAUUCUGGACUGUCCGACAGUGAUCUGACGACACAUUCAUUAGAAAGUAGAUCUAGACCUAGACACUCAUUAUCUCCGGAUAAGGACUUCAUGGGUGAUUUUGGCGAUUCCGAUAUGGAGUCAGUAGUUAGUGUUACUUCAAGUGCUUUUUCAACUCAGUCGGAGCGACCGCGUGGAUCAAAAGGGAUUAGCGACUACGACAUGAGAGAUCGGGGCCGGUACGGAGGACGGGACGCGUACCGGCAGCGGGAUCGGGACCGCAACAACAGUGAUCAUGAGCGGGACCGUGAUCUGAGUGAUCGAGAACAACGAGAAUCGCGGGAGCGCGCGGAACUGGACCGAAGUCUUUCGAACAAUGAGGGCACGCCCGAGGACAAGAUUGAUGGCAGCCUAAGCGACACGGCGGUGAUACAGAGCUUGGACUCGCGGCGCAAGUUGGACCAGCGGUCGCCCAAGAGUGAGACCCCGACGCGGGACCGGGAACGCUUCGGCGCCGGCAUGGGCAAGAAAAGCAGCUCGACGUCCCAGCUCUCGGCAACAGACCAAGGAAUCUCGCCAUCGUCCUCGUCAUCCACGUCCACGCAACGCAAACGCUCGUCGGCCGGAUCGAUCCAACGAUCCGUCGAGGUGACACCGACUCCGUCACAGUCGGCCGCCUAUCGGGCCGGAAGUUUACAUUCAAUCUCUAGCUCCGAGGGUUCCUCAUGGUCACCGUCCCUGCGGGUGGCCGGCGACACGGGACCCCUGUCGGACUUCAUCGAAGGUUUGGGACCAGGACAGCUCGUCGGGCGCCAGGUACUGGGUGCUCCUGCCUUAGGUGAUAUUCAACUGUCUAUGUGCUAUCAGAAGGGUUCCUUAGAAGUUGAAGUGAUAAGAGCGAGAGGAUUGCAGGCACGUCCUGGCUCAAAAGUACUUCCAGCGCCUUAUGUUAAAGUGUAUUUAGUUUCCGGUAAAAAAUGUAUAGAAAAAGCUAAAACAACGACUGCUAGGAAAACGUUAGAUCCAUUAUAUCAACAACAAUUAGUGUUUAGAGAACCAUUUGCUGGCUGCAUAUUACAAGUGACGGUUUGGGGUGACUACGGACGGAUGGAAGGCAAGAAAGUGUUCAUGGGUGUAGCUCAAAUCAUGCUGGACAACCUGAACCUAUCACAUAUUGUCAUCGGGUGGUACAAACUGUUCGGAACCACAUCACUGGUCAGUGGACCACCUAGUCUGGGUCUAUCUAGGCGAUCCUCAAUUGCAUCACUCGAUUCACUUAAGCUGUAAAACUCAUUAAACAUCACCACUGUGUUUAUUUAUUUUUCGUUUGAUAAAACUCCUCCCUCUUCGGUAUCGUUGUUUUUAUUUGGGUUUUGUUUUCCUGUGAGAUUUGAUUCCUGUCCGUACAAACUUGCGUUCCGUACUAUGAGAUAGUUCGAUGUGAGAUUUUCAAAGUUUCCCGACUAGCCACUUCGUUUUGCCCAACUUCGGCAAAACGAAACACUUAGCUGCAGAAUAGCAUUCCAAGAAGAGACUGCAUAGAAUAGCGUUUUCACUCUGUUGUGAAUGGUUUUCUCUUCAGUAAACGAUUUCUAGUUAAAUAUAGCGAAAAAACAGUUACCAUACACGUUGCCAUCCAAACGAGUCUACCGGUCGUAGCAGUAAAUCGUCUGGCAACACUGACUACGGAAGGAUUUCUAGCCUUGGAUGUAAAUCGGUAUGGAAGUAGUGCAGAUUUCAGUUAUAUUUGUCUGGUAGCUAACUAAUUUGCUCGUUACGGCAUCCAACGAAAAACGACAAAAUUUUGCUAAAAUCCCAACAGCAGUGCUCCCAGUUCUCAAAGUACGCAUUCCUUCCAACAAAACGAUGCCCCUCCAACCCUUAGUUCUAGUUCGUCCACAGUUUGUCCCGUUUGCCGUAUUAGUUCCGUCAAUUUACGUUUAGUACCCCCUAAUCAUUACCUAUAUCUUUGUUCUAUGGAAGCGAAAUCACCUUCAAACUAAUAGUGUGUGCCCACUCUCACUGAAAACUUUUCCCCCUCCCCCCUGUUGUAACUGUCCCCGAUCGCUGUCCCAUCUGAAUCGGGUGUCUUGAAUAUAAAAGCUAGAGUAAUGCAAUGAGAAUCUAUGAAAAAAAAACUAGGAGUGUUUUAGUUAAUCAUAGUAAAAAUAACCUUAAAAAACCUCAGCAUAAGUUUAAUCGGCGAACCUACUUUCUGGUUUACAAAAUCCGAAUUCUUAUUUCACGUACAAUCCAGACCACGUCAGUUAGUGCUAGGAAGCCAACAAAUACAACAACAACAACAAAGAAAAAAAAAACCAACAGCAACAACAACAACCGAUCGUAACGGCAACAUGUUCCAGUAUAGGAGAGUAGGCUAACAAAAAUCAAUAUAGAAUUAUCAAAUUCAACCCAUGCAUAUGGACGACAUGUGUUGAUCGAUUGUGUAAUUGAGGGCAAAAAAAGAAGAAGAGGAUGAAAAAACAGCAAAUAAAAAUCACACUCACACAUGAGUACGGAGAGCGAGAGCAAUUUUCAGAUUUUUUCGCGUAUUUAUUAAGAGCAAAAAGUACAUCUAAGGAAAAAAUGAAACUCAAAUCUGUGAAUUUAUUAAACUAAUAUUUAAAUCAGUAAAAUACAAUUCAUCAAACAAAGAAAUUUACAGCAUCAGAACAAAACAAAAGUCACGACAAAGAGAGUUAAAGCUACUUUGUAAAAAGAUGAAACAAAUAAUCAAGCCUUCCAUUAUAUUUAUGAUACAAGGAACAUUUAAUUAUUAUUAAUCAAUUUAUCAAAACAAAAUCUUGACAUAAAUUGCAUAUGCUCCUACGAAUUCAUCAUUCCAAAUCAUUUUAUUACAAGUUCCAACAAACAUAAAGAAAAAAAAAAAAACAAAAUGAAUUCGUUUACUCUAAAAUAAUUUUCGCCAAAUUGACACGCAUUUUCAUGUAAUUUUCUCUUUCCUAUUUCUCAUAAAUCUCAUAAGACUAUAAAUAAAAACAAGCGACCGCCACUUAGUGUACAGCUGGUAUGGAACAGGAAAAACCAAACUUUUUCAUAUAAAAAAAAAACAAAAUAAUUCAUUGAAGGAAACCAAAUUUGUAAAUCUAUUAUAAAGAAAACCUAACAAAUGAAGCAAAGAAAUGUAAAUAUUACUUAAACUAACAAAAAAAACUAUCGAACAAAACAAACGAAGCUGUAGCAAAAACAAGUCAAACACACACACACACUUACAGAAACACCUACGCUCACAGACACAUACACACACGGGAUAAACUAUUCAACAGCAUUCAGAAAUGUUAAUCGAAGGGAAAAACAGCAUAAGCAUUUUGCCUUAGACUCCUAACAGAAAUGCGUUGAAUUCGGAGCUCGGCAGUCAAAUCUCUCCCGAUCCUGCUGAAGAAAUCGAUGCAUUAUGAAUCUCACUGAUGCUUUUUAAAUUUACAUUGAAUGUAUUAGUGAGAUCGAAAGCUUUCCUAGAUAUCUGCAAUAACUCAUUCAUCGAGCUUUCAUUUUACCAACAACUCGCACAAGACAGAAGAGAGGCUCGGUUAUUUCGAAUUUCUCUCUCAGUGAGUGCUCAACGAAACUCUUUAGACGAAGACUCUUCCAUCGCUGAUCAUUUUUGUGUGGAAAAAUUAAACCAUUAAAAAUUAUGUUUCGAGUUUAAAGUGGGAAGCAGGGUGAACUCUGUGAGCAAUAGUUUAAGUGAGAUUCAGAAUUUUUCUCAAAUUUUACAGUUAUUUAAUGCAAAAGAGAGGAUUCCGUCAGUCUCUUUCGAAAUUCUUUCGCAAUGAGCGUCAAGUUUAUCGCGUUUGGCGAAGAUCUUUCAUGAGCUGACGCACACAAUAAUUGUUAUUAAUUUCAAAAGAAUGAUGAAAAAUGACACGAGGUCCGAAUUCAAUGCUUGCGAGGAGAGCAACACUGUAGGAGCAAAAAGCGAUUUAUUGACAGGACUUAAUUUGCGCGAGAGACCGAAACAUUUUGUGAACGACAGAACAGAUUCUUAACAAAACAACAUAUUUAUCUUUAAACAAACAACAAGCCAAAACCAUAUCUUUAAUAUAAGAACACUUUAAAGGAUUAAUUGACUUAAAUGAUUAAAACAUGAACAGCAACCGCAGAAGAGUAACGAAAAAGUAUGAUUUGAAAUAAAACACAUAAAUGGAAGCUUCUUGGGAAUUGACACUAAAUUUUAUUAACAGCGAAGAUCGACGAUAUAACAAAAAAGGAUAUGGAUUGAACAAAGGACAUAUUUUUUAUAACAGCAUUACGGACUCUAUUAAAAACCAAAAAAAAAAAAAAAAAUCAAAAGAAUACGUCAUGCGAAGUAUGUGCAGCGAUGAAUCAUAUGACCCUCUAGGUAAAGGUUAGGGAAAAAAUCAGUUAGAAACUGUACCUAAUUGCGUUGAAGAAGCUGAUGAAAAACAACGUUUGGUUAAAAAAAAGAUCGAUGACGUUAUUCAAAAUCACUCGUAUUUUUUCACACGGACAGCGUCAACGUAAGUCAUAUCACGAAGACAUUUUUUUUUAAAUUUUGUUAGGAGAACAACUCCCAACAAGAACAAUUUAAGCGUUUUGUUCCAUUCGUUACCAACACCUUCAGGUUAUUCAUUCACUGUUUUGCCUGGUGAGUAACAAUUUUAAUCUAUGAAGUAAGAUUUACAACAAGUUGAUUUUGAUAAAUUUUAUCAAUUGUUGAAGCUGCUUUCAUCUCAAAAUUAACAAUUGAUUCACACAUAUACUCAUACAUUUGUUCUGCCUCUUCAAAAAACCCAUUGCUAUUUGUAUUUAAACAACGAAGUGUUUGUUUCUGCUUUUCCAAAGGUAGAUAACACUACAUAAUGGGACAUUUAGGCAGAGAACUCCCCAAUCCGCGAGUGUGUUGUUUCCACACAGCAUUAGUGAGACAAAUUUGCAUUAGCAUCUCAGAUCCGUCCAUUGAUUCUUGCGACAGGCUUCUCGUACGUUUCCUUGAUCUUCAGAAGUGACAGCAUUUCUCAACUGGCUAAAACCAUUUUUGCUACAAACUUUCCAGAUUUCAAUUUCGUUUGCUUGCCCUAUUUCUGAUUUCUCAGGCCGGUUAUGAUUGAAGAUUUCAAUAUUGAUAGUAAUAAAAAUUAACUGCACAGAUUUGGCUUGGUGAACGGCGAAAAAGUUAUGAAUAAUCUCAGUAAGCAAAUAACUUAUAUACGGAUAACAAAGGCCUAUUGAUAGUAGUUGAUUUGAUCUCCAAUCAACUCACACAGUGUAUGAAUUUGGUUUGUAAUUAAUUAAAAAAAACUGGAACAUAAACACAGAAUAUUCAUACCCUAUUACUACAUUCUUCAGAAUGACUACAUUCCCGCAUCCGGAUCAUUUGAAAAUAUGUGACCAUAAAUUCUUUAAAAAAAGGGUUUCAUUUGUCAUCUCGUGCACUUAACCUCCAACACAGAUGUAUGGAAGCUACAAUUCUACCCCAUUCACAUUAACCGACAUCUUUCUUCCAGAAAAGCAUACGGCACACGAAAUAGAGCAAACCGAAGAAAAAAUAAACAGAACGAAAACACACAUACACACACAUUUUGACGGAUUAAAGUUAGGAUGGGAAAGCGGAGAAAAUGGGCUGGGAACACUCCAUUGCGAAGAUAUGAAAAUAUUUGUAUAAAUUUGGGAAACAGAUAAGUUUUAAUUAUUUUAUUAGAGAUAAGUAUUGUUAAGCAACUAUUCAAAACAAUGGAAAACAAACCAGAGAAUAGCGAAAUGGGAGACAGAAAACCAAAAUAUAUUAAUUUAGAAAAAUUAAUUUAUAAAUAUACAGAUUGAUUAAAAACAAGAAGAUGAAACAAAACGCGAUUACUAAGAAAACAAAACUUCAAACUAGGAACAUGAGCAGUCGUACGCGAGGAGAAAGGGAGAGAAAAAAAAAAAAAACAAGAAACAUGAACAUAAUUCAAGAGAAUAUUGUAAAUUAAAAUUUCUAUUAUUAUUAAACCAUAUAUAAAUAUACCGAAAUAUAUAUAAAAACUGUAUCCCCUCUCGGCUAAGAAAAUGUCGAGAAACGACAAUAAAACUGUGAAAACUGAAAA